rnacentral:rRNA from 1 species
UUGAUACUGUCAGACUAGAGUCUAUUUGACGUAGGCGGAAUGUAGCAUGUAGCGGUGAAAUGCUUAGAGAUGCUACAGAACACCCGAUAGCGAAGGCAGCUUACGAAGAUAUAACUGACGCUCAUGCACGAAAGCGUGGGGAUCAAACAGGAUUAGAUACCCUGGUAGUCCACGCUGUAAACGAUGAUAACUGGCUUUUGGCGAUACACAGUCAGAGGCUGAGAGAAAUCAAUAAGUUAUCCACCUGGGGAGUACGACGGCAACGUUGAAACUCAAAGGAAUUGACGGGGGCCCGCACAAGCGGAGGAGCAUGUGGUUUAAUUCGAUGAUACGCGAGGAACCUUACCCGGGCUUAAAUUGCAGAUGCUGUAUGUUGAAAGGCAUAUUUCUACGGACAUCUGUGAAGGUGCUGCAUGGUUGUCGUCAGCCCGUGCCGUGAGGUGUCGGGUUAAGUCCCAUAACGAGCGCAA